CUUUCGGUCUCGCUCUGUCUCUGAAUCUCUCUGUCUCUGUCUCUCUUUCUUCUAACUCACCUCGACGUUCCUCGUCUCUGACCCAUCCCAACUCGGAUAAUCGAUGUUCACAGAUCUGGGGACCAUGGCGCCGUCUUGGAGACACUGGGAAGAUGUAUGGGACCUUGAAGCAAGGGAGACCCAGUUGGUAACAAGAAGAAGCGAAUCCCAGACAACAAGCCUGUGGGCAUGACCGCCAUGUGAACCGAGGCAGCGCUCCCACCAGCUGGUUGCUCACAUGGAGAGCACAACCCCACCGCUUGGCCAGCCUAAUGUUGCUGUGGUUCCCAUCACUGGCAUGGCGCCCUGCGUCUGGCUGGAGCUGUGGCUGUGGGGGCAGUCAGCUCCCUGAGCUCGGCCUGGGCCUGGGCAGUGUCAGCAGUGGCCGCCCCUACAUAGACAACCAGCCACCGCUGGCUGAGCACAGCUUUCCACUCGCCCUGUUCUCGAGUUCCAGGACCCAGACCUGUCUGUAUUUAUGUCUCGGCCGCAUGUGUGAAGUCUCCUUCCUGGAGAGGCCUGAUCUUGGGGGCCAGGACCUGUGGCCACCACUUGUGGCCACCUACUCCCCACCUAUUCCCCUGAGGAGGGGCUGGGCAGUCACACCUGAGCCCUUCAGAACAUUCCAUCCCUUUGAGAGGCAGCCCAGGACCUGCACCCGGGCGAGAGCAGUGCUGGGUGAGGGCCAGUACUACCAGGUAUGUGCCCUUGUGUGUGACUCGAGGGGAGGAAAAGUCCUGCCUAAGUACAUCUGCCCUCCCCAUGUUGCUCAAAAUUCUACAAGGAG